rnacentral:rRNA from 1 species
AUUUGUGCCCAAACCUCAUGUCAAAGCCUGAUCUCGUCCUAUUUCAGAAGCUAAGCAGCGGUGGGUCUGGUUAGCACUUGGAUUUGAGUUCGCUGGGAAUAUCAGGUGCCACAGAGG